CCAGCCGCACCAACAAGUCAUUAGCACUUAUCCAUUCAUCAGGUACUAGCAAGAACACACCAAUAUCUGCUAGAACAAUACACCCGAUAAACCACUGAAUCAAUAAUUAGAUCUGAGGAAACCAACCAAGCAGAUCAGGAGCUAGGAGGAUCAAGCAUGCCACCAGAAGCAGGUUAGAUCAUCAGCCAGAAGGUCAAGCUACAUAAGUGAAGCAGAGACGUACUAUGGAGCUCUGCCUCUAGUGCACAUGGUGGGCCAAGAGGAACUAGUGACAGCGACACGCAUCAGACGAAAGCGACGGGAGCUCUGCCUGACUCAGCACAAGGAAAAAGAUAUGGAGGCCACGAUGGAGGAUCUACAGUGCAACUCGAAGACCGAGGAGUCAACAACUACUUCAAAGGACAGGAACCUUUCAGAAGAGUCAAACACCACAUCCAACAAGUAUAAAACUUAGCUUAGCAAUAGAAAGGAACUAGUUUCCUAAACCUAGCUCCUAUUUAGCUAGAAUCUAUUCAUAGCCUCUAUAGCUAGUUAAAUACUCUACAAAUAGAGUCCGUGAUAAGACCAGACUACGAGUCGUUCUUCUGGAGUUUAUUUGCAGUUUUACCUCAUUGUAAAGUAGGAGGCUGUGAUGAUCUUAUGUAACAGAGUCAACAUUGUAAUUCUAUAGACAUGUCUUGGACCCGCAUAUGUUUCUGUUGUACCACUCUAAGCGAUAUAAUACUAGUGGAACGGUGUUUCAUUGGUGUUAUAUCAGACUUGCAUACUACGCCAUGC